GUGUGUCUUUCCAUUCCUUUUCGAGUUUUCUUUUUCUUUCCUCUUGUUCCAUCUUGCGCUUUUUGUCCGGAAGAAAUGACGUGUUGACGGUGGGGUCUUUCUUGGAGACACAAGUCACCGAAUCAUAACAGUCCUCUUCAGGAUCACCUGACCCCACAAAACUAAGAAGUGAUGAAAAUUUUCGCUUUUCGUUUCUCUUUUUGUUCUCCUUCUUGGAGCGUUUUAUAGACU
rnacentral:ribozyme from 13 species